CCUGUUUAAGGAAGCUGGCUUGUCAUGUUUUAGAUUUUUUUGUCAGAUUUUCGGAAUCCUCUGGUUUUAUCCAUUUGAAUGCCUUGAAAAAAAUUGACCGGUGACCCCCAUUUUUCUUUUUGUAAAUCUUUUACAUGUAUAAUGAUAAGCCAUCUGUAAAAGUCUUAUAAAAUUUUAAUUACUCUUUAACAGUUUUUCAGAACUUCAACUUGUCAAUGAUAAAGCUAUGAAAAGUCAAGAGAGAAUAUUUUCCCGCCAAAAUUUCAAUGGCUAAUACCUCGAAAACAAGCACGGUGACCUAUAUAUUUAUUUUGCUCUUUGGAUUCCUUUAUUAAUACUCUAUCUAUAUAAACUAGUGUUUUGAAAAGUUAAUUACUUUGAAACUGAGAAGCGAACUCCCUUAA
rnacentral:lncRNA from 1 species